rnacentral:pre_miRNA from 1 species
CAAGUACUCCCUCCGUUCGGAAUUAGUUGUCGCAGAAAUGGAUGUAUCUAGAUGUAGUUUAGUUCUAGAUACAUCCAUUUCCGAGACAAGUAAUUCCGAACGGAGGGAGUAGUAA